AAGUCGUAACAAGGUUUCCGACCCGGUUCCCUACCGAAGCCUUUGCAGCCCUACGGGGUGAACCGCGCGACUCAAAACAAGGCGGGCGAUGCAAGUCGGGCCACACCGGCCCGGCGACACUUUCGAAUUGCGGGGACACCCUAACGCGGCGCGCUACUAACGCGGGCGGGAAACCGCUCGCGGGCCUGCACUAACCGUGCGGGGAAGUAAAAAUGCGCGCCGAUACGCUACCCCUCGGGUGGGGUAGCUCAUGGGCGAUCCGCAGCCGAGUCCCUAAAGUUGCCCGAGUACGGGGCGUCCACGGGAAAGGUUCACAGACUAGGUGGAAGUGGGUGGGGCGAGCGCCCUGCUUAAGAUAUAGUCGGUCCCGGGCAGAGAUGCCGGGGGAGAGAUUCUUGUGCGUAAAGCGCUGGGAUCAUCGCAGACGUUCCGUAGGUGAACCUGCGGAAGGAUCAUUACCGUGAAGCGGCCGGGUCCGCCCGUGCCCGCUCCCAAAACCGUGCCUACCGACCAGUUGCUUCGACGGGACGCCGGGCCUCCAGCCCGGCGUCGACCCGUCCGGAGAACCCCACCGAACCCGUGUCACCCGCAGUCCGAGAGAAGAGCAAGAAACAAGCAAAACUUUCAACAACGGAUCUCUUAGUUCCGGCAUCGAUGAAGAACGCAGCGAAAUGCGAUAAUUAAUGUGAAUUGCAGAAUUCAGUGAAUCAUCGAGUCUUUGAACGCAAAUUGNGCCNNCAGUAUUCUGACGGGCACGCCUGUUCGAGCGUCAUUCCAACCCCUCAAGCCCCCCCGGCUUGGYCUGGCACUGCGGCAGGCACGCCCCAAAGUCGUCGGCGGAANNGGGANGACAGCCCCGAGCGUGACGCACUCGNGCAUUCGGGCUGNCCACGCGACCGCCUCACCAACGCACAAAAGUUGGCCUCGGAUCAGGCGGGGCUACCCGCUGAACUUAAGCAUAUCAAUAAGCGGAGGAAAAGAAACCAACGGGGAUUGCCUCAGUAACGGCGAGUGAAGCGGCAACAGCUCAAAUUUGAAAUCUGGCCUCCCUUGCGGAGCCCGAGUUGUAAUUUGAAGAGGACGCUUCGCGAACGGCGCCGCCCCAAGUUCCUUGGAACCGGACGCUACAGAGGGUGAGAGCCCCGUAUCCGGGUGGCGACCUGCCGCGUGUGAAGCUCCUUCGACGAGUCGAGUUGUUUGGGAAUGCAGCUCUAAUCGGGAGGUAAAUUCCUUCUAAAGCUAAAUACCGGCCGGAGACCGAUAGCGCACAAGUAGAGUGAUCGAAAGAUGAAAAGCACUUUGAAAAGAGAGUUAAAAAGCACGUGAAAUUGUUGAAAGGGAAGCGCUCGCGACCAGACUCGGUCGGGGGGGAUCAGCCGCCGCUACGCGACGGCGCACUCCCCCCCCUCCGGGCCAGCGUCGGUCCGGGCGGCCGGACAAAGGCGGCGGGAACGUGGCUCCCCUCGGGGAGUGUUAUAGCCCGCCGCGGAAUGCGGCCAGCCCGGAUCGAGGACCGCGCUUCGGCUAGGACGCUGGCGUAAUGGUCGUGAGCGGCC
rnacentral:rRNA from 1 species